rnacentral:rRNA from 1 species
AACGCUAGCUACAGGCUUAACACAUGCAAGUUGAGGGGCAGCAUGGUCUUAGCUUGCUAAGGCCGAUGGCGACCGGCGCACGGGUGAGUAACACGUAUCCAACCUGCCGUCUACUCUUGGACAGCCUUCUGAAAGGAAGAUUAAUACAAGAUGGCAUCAUGAGUCCGCAUGUUCACAUGAUUAAAGGUAUUCCGGUAGACGAUGGGGAUGCGUUCCAUUAGAUAGUAGGCGGGGUAACGGCCCACCUAGUCUUCGAUGGAUAGGGGUUCUGAGAGGAAGGUCCCCCACAUUGGAACUGAGACACGGUCCAAACUCCUACGGGAGGCAGCAGUGAGGAAUAUUGGUCAAUGGGCGAGAGCCUGAACCAGCCAAGUAGCGUGAAGGAUGACUGCCCUAUGGGUUGUAAACUUCUUUUAUAAAGGAAUAAAGUCGGGUAUGUAUACCCGUUUGCACGUACUUUAUGAAUAAGGAUCGGCUAACUCCGUGCCAGCAGCCGCGGUAAUACGGAGGAUCCGAGCGUUAUCCGGAUUUAUUGGGUUUAAAGGGAGCGUAGAUGGAUGUUUAAGUCAGUUGUGAAAGUUUGCGGCUCAACCGUAAAAUUGCAGUUGAUACUGGAUAUCUUGAGUGCAGUUGAGGCAGGCGGAAUUCGUGGUGUAGCGGUGAAAUGCUUAGAUAUCACGAAGAACUCCGAUUG